UACGAGUGGUGCAAGCGUUAUUCGGAAUGAUUGGGCGUAAAGGGUGCGUAGAUGGCGUAUUAAGUCUACUGUUUAAUUCCCCAGCUCAACUGGGGGCCAGCAGUAGAUACUGGUAUGCUCGAGGGUGGAAGAGAGAAGUGGAAUUCUCGGAGUAGCGGUAAAAUGCGUAGAUCUCGAGAGGAACACCAAUGGCGAAGGCAGCUUCUUAGUCCACAUCUGACAUUGAGGCACGAAAGCGUGGGGAGCAAACAGG
rnacentral:rRNA from 1 species